AUCCAGUUGACGAGUCCCAAAUAGAAGGAAACACGUGUCAAACUAGAC
rnacentral:hammerhead_ribozyme from 1 species